CCUAUAGUAAGCAGCAGUGGGGAAUAUUACACAAUGGGGGAAACCCAUGAAUGCAGCAACGCCGCGUGAGUGAUGGCGGCCUUCGGGUUGUAAAGCUCUGUCUUCAGGGACGAUAAUGACGGUACCUGAGGAGGAAGCCACGGCUAACUACGUGCCAGCAGCCGCGGUAAU
rnacentral:rRNA from 1 species